AGCGAACGCUGGCGGCGUACUUAACACAUGCAAGUCGAACGAGGAUCACCACGUGAGCAAUCAUGAGGUGGUUCUAGUGGCGCACGGGUGAGUAACACGUGGGCAACCUGCCCUCGAGUC
rnacentral:rRNA from 1 species